rnacentral:sRNA from 1 species
CUGUGUUAAGGAUAGUAGCGGCAUCCUUUUGGUUUACUAAAAAACCAAAAGAUAUAGCGGAUAGCCUGACUUUUU